rnacentral:rRNA from 1 species
UAAGGAAUAUUGGUCAAUGGACGCAAGUCUGAACCAGCCAUGCCGCGUGGAGGAUGAAGGUCCUCUGGAUUGUAAACUUCUUUUAUCUGGGACGAAACACUUCUUUUCUAAGAGGCCUGACGGUACCAGAUGAAUAAGCACCGGCUAACUCCGUGCCAGCAGCCGCGGUAAUACGGAGGGUGCAAGCGUUAUCCGGAUUCACUGGGUUUAAAGGGUGCGUAGGUGGGUAUGUAAGUCAGUGGUGAAAUCCCCGAGCUUAACUUGGGAACUGCCAUUGAUACUAUAUAUCUUGAAUACCGUAGAGGUGAGCGGAAUAUGACAUGUAGCGGUGAGAUGCUUAGAUAUGACAUGGAACACCAAUUGCGAAGGCAGCUUACUAUGCGGUGAUUGACACUGAGGCACGAAAGCGUGGGUAGCAAACA